GACGAACGCUGGCGGCGUGCUUAACACAUGCAAGUCGAACGAAGUGGCGAACGGGUGAGUAACGCGUAAUCAACCUGCCCUUCAGAGGGGGAUAACAGUUGGAAACGACUGCUAAUACCGCAUACUGAAGGAGGGGCUUGCGUCUUAUUAGCUAGUUGGAGGGGAAACGUCCCACCAAGGCGAUGAUCAGUAGCCGGUCUGAGAGGAUGAACGGCCACAUUGGGACUGAUACACGGCCCAGACUCCUACGGGAGGCAGCAGUGGGGAAUCUUCCGGAAUGGACGAAAGUAUGACGGAGCAACGCCGCGUGCGUGAUGCCGGCCUUCGGGUUGUAAAGAUCUGUUAUUCGGGAUGCGUUACCGGAAUAGAAGGCCACGGUUAAUUACGUGCAAGCAGCCGCGUUAAUC
rnacentral:rRNA from 1 species